rnacentral:misc_RNA from 1 species
ACUGGGCAUGUACUGAUUUGAGGUCAAAUUUCAAAUGAUAUGUGGUUGCAGUAGGCUGCCUAAUCUCAGAUGGUGAUCCUAUCACAUCUAUGUCGAUCCAGCAAAGACCCACUUAUGCAUUUCAAAGAAGCUGACCUUAAGCCAGCAAUCUUCAAAUCCAAAGCAACAGCAAAAGCAUAUUGCUUUGAGAAUUUAAUGACACUCAAACAGGCAUGCCCUUUGGAAUACCAAAGAGCGCAAGAUGCGUUCAAAGAUUCGAUGAUUCACUGAGAUCUGCAAUUCACAUUACUUAUCGCAUUUCGCUGCGUUCUUCAUCGAUGCGAGAACCAAGAGAUCCAUUGUUGAAAGUUGUAUUUUUAUUAAGCCAACCAUUUCUAAUGUACAUUAUAUGCGUGUGUGUUAAAAUCAUAAGACUAACCCUACAAAGGUGCACAAGGUGGAAGAUAAAGAUAAAAGGUGUGCACAUGCCCGCAAGGACCAGCAACAACCUCUUAGCAAUUUCAUUAAUGAUCCUUCCGCAGGUCACCCUACAGAAG